CGGUCUUCAUUCCUGAACACUGGGAGUUUGAUCAUGGGUUCACGCCUCACUCAGACGGGAUAGCCAUGUGGAGUUUUCCGGGUUUUCUCCACGUCUGUAACACAUAAAUAGGAGUCAGUUUCCUUUAAAAAGACCUCCCGGAAGGCAUCCCCCUAGACAGAUGCCCAAGUGUUGUGUUGCCAUAACUAAACAAACAAACAAACAGAAGCCAUUUUUGUAACCUCAUCAUCCACUUUUCAAUAUGAGACUCCAGCUUACCCCUUGAAUUUCCAGAUAUAACUAAAAGCAAAUUGUUGGCAUUAUAACUAAAAGCAAAUUUUUGACAUAGGCAACAUAAUCUAUUUGACUCUUGUUUAAAACACCAUAUUCCAAAGCACAGGUCCGAGAACCAACUCCUCUGGACAGUCCCCAUUUAUCUUUUCAUAUACCCUUUGGUCACCUAAAGGGUAUACGUCACCUCUGUAUGAUAAAUAGUGCCUUGGUAAGCUAUAUAAUUCACCCGGGCAUUUCCCAUUUACCAGCUUCCUUAGAUUGAAAGGUUAUAGCUGAUCAAAAGCACUUUUUAUAUCAAAGUAUAUACCCAAAAUGUAUUUGCUAUGAGACUUAUCGACCACAUCUCAGAGACGCAAUAAUGCAUCCUUCAUCGAGCACCCUUUUUUAAAAUCAUAGUGGUACUCAUUAUUACACCCUUAUAUUACAGAGUACAGUCUGUUCUUAAUGAUGCAUUCAAAUAUUUUGCUCAGCAAUAGGACCUAUUUGACCUCAGUUAGCCCUAUCUUUAUUACCAUCUGUAUAUAUAAUCAUAAUCAUUACCUUUCUCUGUUUCCAAGUUAGGGAAGACACCGCAAACCAAGCAUGCCCAAUACAACCUCCUCCUGUGAGGACUUGAUAUAUAUGAAAAUCUUUCUCUACAACCUCAUACUUAAUAUUAUUGAUCUCAGGCUUUUCUACCCUUUGAGACCCUAGUGUCAAUUAUGAUAUCAUUUGCCAUUACCUCAUCACCAUACAAUGUCUAGAGAAAUCCACUCUAUCUAUUUGGGUGAUGAAGAAAUUUAUUACUGGUACAAAACAAUUAUUGAAAAUACCUGUUUUUUGGUUGCUGGUUGAGGUGGGAAGAAGGUAGUCCAAAGAUUUUGGGUGAAAAAUACGAUUAAUAAGCAUAUAAAUAAAUUGGGCAGGAAAAUAAAACCAUUUCUCCUGGAAUUUGUUUUAGGAUCCUGACGUUGGCCAACCGCAGACUGCCUGAAGAACUACUUGUGGAAGAAUUGCCAGCGUUCUAUUUCCGGCCAUCCGGGACACCCACCGUCCCCACCAUGGCACCUUCCCUUUCUGGGGCAUUCUUCCCUGCAGGGAUUCCAUCCUCUUUUUUCGCGUUACUUUUGUUACGCGGCACCAUUCUAGUUAUUAGAAGAGGUAAAACGGUAAUAAAAGGAAGGACCUGAUGUCUA